GUUGCUGGCUGCACUGAGAAUUCAGAAUGGGAGACAAGCCUAUUUGGGAACAGAUUGGUUCCAGCUUUGUACAGCAUUACUAUCAGUUAUUUGAUACAGACCGGACUCAGUUAGGAUCAAUAUAUAUAGAUGCCUCAUGCCUUACAUGGGAAGGACUACAAUUUCAGGGCAAAGCA